ACUGCAACUAACAUUGUGAAGGCUCGAUUGCGCAAUAAAAUUGGAGAUCAGUGGAUGAAUGACAACUUAGUUGUAUAUAUUGAAAACGAUGUAUUCCAAAAAAUAGACGAUGAUGUCAUUAUGCGUGGUUUCCGAAGUGUGAAAACCUGCUGGGAACAAUGGUAAAUUGUUGUGAUAUGUUUAAUAUUAUUUUGUUAUUGGCUUAUUUCCAAAAUUUAUAUGUUGUCAAGUCUUUAGCCCCCACUGAACCCCAUCUUAACUCCACCCCUGAUAAUGCCAAGGGAUUCACAUAAAUAGACACAAAUUCAGUAGACCAGUCAUGGAAAGUAAACAGUAGGGAACAUGAGUCAGCAAGAACACGUUGAAAACCUGUAAGAUUCUAUUGCUUUUAUUAUGUAUUCGAGAUCAGUUAGAUUGUUAUUUGAAGAAAGUUGUUAAAACAGUAAAGUAGAAAAACACUAGCAGCAGAGUUGCAUCGGUUGCUAUAGGAAAUGGUGUUUAAGGUUUUCCUGCUCUUGCAGAAAUCAAGAAAGAGAAGUGGCAAGGUUUUCACACAUCCAAAAUGGACAGAUAGGGGACUUUUUUGAGGUAAGACUUCCUAGAACUUAUACUGAGUUCUUCUACAUGUGGAAGUAAAAUAGGAGUGGGCGUUGUGAGUUCAAAACCUGCCAAUAUCGGGUUUGUGAAACGUCUGUAUCCUGAAAAUGUGAUUUGAACAUUGGCUUUAGGACCCUGAAAGGUUGCACCUGCUUCUUCUUUGAAUUGCCUAGCAGUUUGUUACUAUUAUUUUUUUAUUUUUAUUUAGGAAUAAACACAUAUCGUCCCUAUCUAGUAACUUAAAAUUUUGGAUGAUAAGGUGACCAUGGUAUUGGAGUUAGGUAAAGAACUUUGAUUCACCGAUCAUUUAUGCAAAUUGUGCACUUGACUUACCUUUGACGAAACAAUGUGCGACCUGCACGCUAAGGGCUGUUUGAAUAUAUAUUUUAGAUGAAUGUACGUGGCUCAUUCUAAAGGAACUCAAAGAAUUUCCAAGAACCAGAAGAUAAAUUAGGUUGAAUGAUCAAAAUGACAUAAGAAAUUGUUAUUACUGUUCAAUCUAAAUGUUUAGCAUGAUAUAUAUAGUGACAGUAACAACAAAUUUAGAUGUAAUGACUCAGAUUAGCAAAGCAUAAUUAAUAGCUUAAGAAACCGACCAAUGGAUAUAAACAAGUUUUGACAGAAGAAAAUCCAUUUAUUUAGAAGUUAGCAAUAUUUCUGUAAUAGUCGUGUCAUUCACAAGAAAGGAGAAGUCCAUAGUUGAUUUUAAAUUAGGCAACUUCUGCUUCCCAUUUCCAUUUCAUCGACACAUUGUUGCAACGUAAAUUUUGUUUGUAAGAACAUGUGUCGUGCCUAUUUAUUUAACUAUUACACUGUAUCGUGCCAAUUAGGAAUCGUUUGGUAUGAAAUUUAAAAAGUUAAAAAGCAGCUUUUAAUUUUAUGAGGCUAUUUUUAAACAUUUUUGGAUAAUUUUCUGAAAGUGCUUUGUUUGACUAGAAAUCUUUUAAAGGAAAUAGAUUUAAAGUAACUUAUUUAAGAAACUCUUUUAUUAGAAGCAGAAUUUAAAAAAUUAAAUAAAUAAAUACUGCCAAAAGGACCUUAAUAUUCAUAUGCUUCCUUUUUCUUUUUUCUUUUUUUCUUGACUACGUAGUACUUUCAUAUGUACCAAAUGCAUCUUUGUAUUGUCUUGAACCAUUAGAAAAUUAUUAGAGACAAGUUUCGAGUAAAUAAUUUUGUGAGACAAAUUAAUUAGCUGGCAAUUGACCUAAUAAAUGAGAACGAACGUGGAGAAAGUGAUACUAUUGAGUUUGACGUGCGAGGGCGAAUUCAGGAUUUCGACUCAGUUAGGACAGCCCUUGAUCGUUGGAUGUUGAUUGUCGAUAGUCAACAACUAUAUAGCGAUGUCGUUUAUUAAUAUUAAAUUAAAUAAUAUUAAAUUUUCUUAGAUCUAUAUAUAAAUACACUAAAACAUAAAAAUCGUAUAUUCUUAUUGUAUUAUAGUUCAAUGCAAUCCGAAAUAGUAUAAAUUACAUGUUACAUAAGACUUAUUUGUAUUAUUAAUGUUUAACAAAUCGUUUGCUUGACUAAAAGUAGUUGAGAGAUUAGAUACACCACUACAAGAACUAGAAUGGGAUUCAGUUGAAAAAAAAUCAUUCCAUAAUAUGUAUGAGAAUUGAAAGUUAAUCAAAAAUUAAACGUAAUUAAAAUUACUUUUAAAAUAUAAUGAAAGUUUCAAUUUCCAAUUCUCAACACCAAUUCAUCACAAAUUAUAAAUUCCCCAAUUUCUAAUUUUCAAUUUUUAUAAAUUACAUAUUCAUAUUUCACAAUACUCAAACUAAUUUUUAAUAUCAUAAUUUACAGUAAACAAAUUCUCAAAUAACAUAUAAAUUAAAACUCAAUACUAAUAAGUAAUAUCUUAUAAAUUAUUAAAGUAUAAAAUAUUUAAAACGACAAAAACCAACAAAAAAAAAAAAGUCAUUGACUCGCUUGGAGUCUUAACAUAUAUUAUUUUGUUAAUUUUAAUUCAAAACUCAACUAUUGUCAUAAUGGUUAAGCUUUCUAUUAUCCUAAGUAGAGGUCGCAGGUUUGAAUUCUUUCCUUAGGAAAUUAAUUUUGAUAAAUAUUGUAAAAAUAAAAAUUUUGCGCAAUGAAAUGGACAAGAAAGACUAGAACCAAAGACUCACAAUAUAUAAUUGCAAGCUCUAACCAACUAGGCAAAAGAAAGAUUUGAAAAUAAGAUGAACUACUAUUUAUAUAACUUAAAAUUUUUAUCUAUUAUCAAACAAAAAAAAAACAAAAAAUUCCCUGAUGAAUCCAGCUAGGACGGCUACCUAGCUGGCCACCACCUAAAUUCGCCCCUGCUAACGCGAUGGAUCCCAAAGAGUCAACAAUUGUUAUUAUUAUCAAGAAUUUAGGUUAAAUUAAUAUUUUGCUGUUCUGCUCUUAAUUUUUGACUGAUCUCUCUUAUUAGCCUCAAAUUAUUCUCCAUUCCCCUGCCCCCUCACCCAUUUUCUUCUCAUCUUUUAAUUAAAAUUAAGUAUAAAAAUGAUUUUACCUCAAAAAAUCUAGACAUUUGAAACUUAAAUACCAAUUUUAUAUAAAAUUGAAUAUAGGGAUGACAAUCUUCUACCACAUUGGUGAAUUGGAAGGGAAUAUGCUCACUAUCUCAUCUCUUAUUUAUUUUAUUUUAUGCAGUACUAAUAAAAAAAAAGUAAUGUUAGAAAAAUAAAUAAAUAAGUAAAUGGAGGAAACGUCGAAAAUGGGGAUAUAUUAGUUCAAACCUGAUUUUAUCUUUUUGCCACUCCUAAUUGAAUUGUUCGUUCGUGCAGAGAUUGAUUGUGUACUAAUUUAGAAGAUUGAGACUCAACUUGCUCUUAUUUAGUAGGUUGUGGACCAUUUUAAACUCUGGAAUAGCAUUGAUGACCAACUAUGCAAUUCUCCCAUUGUUUCAACUUUCAAUUACGCCCUUAUUAUCCAUCUAUGACUCCUCGACGGAUUUAGGCAACGAAAGUAAAAUAAUUCAGGAGCCAUUAAGGAAUCCUUAUUGAAGUAAGAUUACAAGAAAAUCUUAAUCACAUUCUAUUGUAGCAUUGUUCAAUUAGAACUCAACUUCAUAAAAUCCUAUAUAAGUUUGAAAAUGAUAUUCAUGAGCAAUUAAGGAAACCCUGUUGAAGUAAGAUUAUUAGAGAAUCUUCUCACAUUCCGAUUUAGCCUUAUUCAAUUAGAACUCGACUUCAUAAAUUCCUAUAUAUGUCUGAAUAUGGCAAAUUCCAAUUACAAAUUAUAUUUUCUGUUCAUGUCAUUGCUAUUCCUUUAUUGAGAAAUUAUGGCGUUUAAACCCAAUUUCGACAAUGCCCUGUCGUUCGUUGAUAUUGUGAAGCAACGGUUUCACGAUCAAGAAAGCAUUUAUCGAGAGUUUCGUUAUCUAUGUGAAAGGUUCAGAAGAGAAUUUACAGAGCCAGAAAGCGUAAUUUCACAGGUGAAGAACUUGUUCAGCGGUCAUCCGGAUUUGAUUUCACAAUUCCUCAAUUUUGUGCCAAAGAUUUUACGGAGUGACAAAGAUACCGCUGCUGCUUCUGCUUCCGCUUCUGCUUCUGCUUCAACAACGUCAAGAAAUUCAUCCGAUGAGGUUGGAAGGGAAAAAACAAAAUCCUGUAUUGAAUUUGUGAAUUGGGUUGCGGAAACAUUGCAGGAUGAUUACAAGUUCAAAUCGUUUCUUGAUGCUGUUAAUGGUUUUCGGAAAUACAAGGACAUUGAUCGGGUUCGUGAGAGAGUUUCUGUUAUAUUCAAGGAUCACCCGGAAUUAGAUAUUGAGUUUUCCAGGUUUUUACUGGAUGCUGUGCUGCAGCAGAUAACUGAAUGUGAAGAAGUCCUGUUCGAUUGUGAGGAAAAAAUGUAUGAAUUUGACAUGAAGUAUCAUUCUUUGAAAUCAAAUAUGGAGGCCGUGGAUCAAAUGGCAGAAGAACUGAAAAGAAAUCAGAACAAGUCGACCUCCAUUGAAGAUUACCUAGCCACCGUAAAGUCGCGCCUGAAUAAAAAGUACAUGAAGCUUAAUAAGGACCGCGAAAGGUCCAAGAUAAAGUGCGCAAGAAAUAUGAAAGAAACCCAUGAAAAGAUAAACAAUCAUAUGGUUUCUGUCAAGAAAGCAAGUGCAAGUGCAAAGAGAUCGAGCCCAGAAUCAACACUUAAGGUUGAAGACAACAAGGAGAAUACUUCCUCGGAGAACAAGGCGAAUCCAAGAUCUGAUCCCGAGCAAGUUCAUAGGGUUAAAAGAGUCAGAAUAAAAUAUUCUAUGGGAUGAUCGUAAGAAUUUAUCUGUCAAUGAACUAUGUGAGAUAUUCGAUCUGUUAUUGCACAUUGUUAAUGCAAUUGUAUACAACACAUUCUUGUGCAAAUUGUACUUUUGAUUUGUUCUAAGAUAGUAUUGUAUUAAUCCUUGGCUUUGUGUUAAUCCUUCUGACCAGACCAGAAGAUAGCGACCUGCUAUCCUCUUAAGGUUUAAUAUUUUUCUUGGCAUGUAAACCACAUAAUGAGCUGGAAAAGAAUCAUAGUAAUUUGCUUAAUUUUAGCUUUCCUGUCCAUGGAUUAAGUAUCUACCAAACUCCAUCUUCCCCAUAUAAAUAUCAACCAGACACCCUCAGCUCUGAUCUAGCAUAAAUUUGUUAACUGAAAUAACUUAUAUAAAUGAGAUAAAGUUUAGGGUAUAUUUGGAGGAAUUUUCUACGUUUUUCUCGUAUAAAUAAAUUGAUAAUUGUGAAGGAAUGUGUUGAAUUUCCAGUCUUGGAUCCAUUAAUAUUUAUUAGGAACCUUUAAAAGUGGCCUUGCCCAAAUCCACCUUUACCAAGAAAAAACUACUUGAUGAAAAAUAAUUUGUAAUUUCUUUUAGUUGUUCCAGAGUGAAAAUGUGAAGAUUUGAUCCCAUCACCAGUAGAAUCACUUAUAUCAGCAAUUGAUAUCCUUUUGACAGAAUCUUGUUUGAAAAUUUUAUGAUAACUCCGGCUCUUCACCUAAUACAAAGAUGUGGAUUUUGUUUCGUGGCCUAGAUUCACAAAAAGUUUUCCAUGGCAAAGAAAGCAAAUGAGUAAAAGAGACUUCAAUGCAAAAGAAUGCAAAAGGUAACUUGUAAAGGCCCCAUCCCUACUCAAAUCUCUCUUAGCCCAUGUUUGAUUUUGUUAAAACGUUGAAAUUUAAUUGUAAUUAUGCUAAAAAUCAAGAAUCACAAAGUAAUAAAUUGAUAAAUUGAAUUCAUACAUGUGGAAACCAUUGUUAAUAUGAAUAAUAGCAACUAGAUUUUCCCCUCCUCAUUUCUCAUAAAGUAAAACAAUAUAGAGAAAAGAAGGGACCUAACCUUUAUAUAAGAAAUUAUCAAACCAUCACAUUACAACUUAAACUUUAAUUAGGAUUUACAUAUAUUUUCGACCCACAUACUUAAAAUUACCAUAUCAUAUUAAAUACAAUUUGUAAGGUAUAAAAGGUUCAAUUGAUAACUUAAUAAAUUUGGCCAAAUCACAAAUAUCAUUAUGAUCUAUAAAUCUAACCCGUAGACUUUAUAAUUGAAUGUGAAGCCCAUAUUUGAAAUUAUUUUAACAUUCUCCCACUUGGACAAACAUUUAAUUGCUAUAACAAAAUUUUUAACACUGACUUAUACAACAUAGAUGGCCACAAAAGUAUAACUCCAAUGAUGACACAUUAUUCAACAUGCUCUAUUCUAACAAGAAUGUCAACACCGAAUAUGGAAGUUAUUUCACCAAUUGAGUGAUGUAAGAUUAUUCCACAGCUACAAAUGUCAACAUCUUUAUCGACAUGGAUCCCCAUCCUCCAACCAAUGAGGUAGUAUGUGGUAUAAACUUUGCACCAAAUGUGAUAAAAAAAAUUGUGCUAAUACAUAUCGAUUUUCAUAAUGCUUCAAAUUAAAAUGAAGCCACAUGUCUCGAAAAGAAACUCAUCUUAUGUCUUUAUCUGUCAUACCUCGAGUUUACAAUAAUAUCAUAAUAAAAUAUAUAAGUCAAAUGCAUUCUCAAAAUAAUUCAUUAAUAGGGAAAAAAUAUUUUAUUAUUAGAAGGGGUUGUACCCAAAAAACAUAUGAGUUGCCUACGUACCCCAUAAAGGGAUCAAGUUAAAAUGUAGUUUAUAUAUAUAUAUAUACACAACUCCCACUAACCAAAAAUAUCAAAUGUUUCCACAAUGCCCAUAUUAGUAACAUAUAUCUUAAAGACUUUUGGAGCGAGUCCCUUAGUCAAAGGAUUUGCAAUCAUUUCCUCUAUAUCGAUAUGCUCUAUUUUUGCCUGCCCUUCCUUGACUCUGUCCCUAACCACCAAAUAUUUGAUUUCAAUAUGUUUUGACCCACCAGAACUCUUGUUAUUCUUUGAAAAGUACACUACUGCAUUAUUAUCACAAUAGAUGGUGAUUGGUCUCGAGAUGGAAUCAAUAACUUUCAAACCAGAGAUAAAAUUUCUUAACCAAACGACUUGGACUGCAGUCUCAUAACAUUCCACAAAUUCAAUUUAAAUAGUAGAAGAUGCCGCUAGAAUCUGUUUAGCAUUUUUCCAAGAGAUAACACCAUUAGCUAACGUAAAAGUAUAAUCUAAAGUUGAUUUCAAAUCAUCUUAACAUCUAGUAAAAUCAAAAUUUGAGUAGCCUACCACCUCUAGAUGAUAUGAACGCUGGAAUGUAAGCAUAUGACCUUCAGUUUUCUUCAAGUAUCUCAUAACUUUCUUAACUGUUUUCCAAUACUCUUGUCCUGGAUUCGACUGAAACUAGUUAUGGCAACGGGGCGGGAGCGGGAUAGCCCGGGGACGGGGCAAAUUUUUGCCCCGUUUAAAUUUUUUUAUUUUUUAUUUUAAAUUUUUUUUAUAUUUUGAAAAUUUCGAAUUAUGUUAUUAUUAGAUAAUAAAAUACAAAUUCAAAAUGGGUUUUUAAGGGUGAAUUGUUUAGAAAUAAAAUUAAUUUUAAUUUUAAUUUUAAUUUUUUUACUUUUUUCUUCACAAGGUGGGUCCAACCCGUUCGGAGCGAGUUUUUUUACCCCAUUCAGGGCGGGGCUCCAUUAGGGCGGUGCAGGAUAAAUUGCCAUCCCUAACUAAAACCUGCUAAGGACAUUGACUGCAUAGGCUAUAUUCGGUCUAGUGCAAAUUUGAAUAUACAUCAAGCUCCUAUAGCACUAGCAUAUGGAAUCAUCUUCAUAGAUUCACUUUCGAACUCAUUCCUUGGACAUUGAGUUUUGUUAAACUUAUCUCCUUUUAUGAUGGGUGUAUCACCAGGUGCACAAUUCUGUAUAUUGAACCUUCCUAAAACAUAUCGUAUAUAAGCUUUUUGAGAAAGUCCCUGGAAAUCACGAUCUCUAUCAAGAUGUAUUUCAAUGCCAAGCACAUAAGAAGCUUUUCCAAGAUCUUUCAUCUCAAAAUUGGCAAACAACAUUUUCUUUGCCCAUUAAGCAACCCCAAAUUACCACUAGCAAGCAAAAUAUCAUCAAUAUAUAGCACAAGAACAAUGAAAUUUCUUCCACUAGUUUUGAGAUAAAUGCAUUGAUCAACUUUAUUUUCAACAAAAUCAAGAGAAGUCGCAACCUCGUCAAAUUUCAAACACCACUGUUGUGAUACUUACUUAAGGACAUAUAAUAAUUUGUUUAAUUUGCAUACCAAGUUUUCUCUUCCUUUUACAACAAAACCUUCAGGUUGUCUCAUGUAAACAUUUUCAAAAAGAUCUCCAUUCAAAAAUGAUGUCUUAACAUCUAUUUGAUGUAACUCCAAAUCAUAGUGUGCUACAAGUGUCAUAAUAAUUUGAAAAGAAUCUUUCGAUGAAAUAGGUGAGAAGGUUUCGACGAAAUCAAUGCCCUAUCGUUGAGCGAAACCUUUAGCAACCAAUCUUACUCUCUUUCGUUUAAUAUUUCAUUUCAAAUCCAAUUUACUUUAUAAAAUCCACUUGUUAUCUAUAGCUUUAGCAUCUAAAGGAAGUUCAACAAGUUCCCAAACUUUAUUUUGUUCCAUAGAAUUCAUUUCUUCUUACAUAGAAUUUAUCCAUUUAUUUGCCUCAAGACUCGUCAAUGCUUAAUUAUAAGUAGCGAGAUCAACAACAUGCCCAAUAUUAAAAUCACUCUCCAAUAGAUAGGUAAUAUAAUCUCUGGGUAAAGCAGAUCUCAUUUCCUUUUGCAAUCUCCUAACUCGUUGCUCAGAAGCUGAAUCAAUCGUUGUUGGGAAAAUUAGAAGUUCCUCUUGGUUCCUUAGUUCUUCAUUAACUACUUUAACUAAUUGGGAACCAACUCUUUCCUGUGUAAUCGGAACUGGAACAACAACUUGAUUUGGUUCAACAAAAAAUUCUGUCAAUGUGGAACUCCCAGUAUUACCAAAAUCAUUAUCCAGAAAUUUAGCAGCGAUGGACUCAACAAUUCUAGUACUAAGAUUUGGGCAAUAAAACUUAUAUCCUUGUGAUCUAUCCGGAUACCCAAUAAAGUAACUAGGAGUUGAUUUAGGUUCUAAUUUCUUUUCAAAUGAAUUAUAAAUCUUAACCUUAGUUGGAUAUUCCCAAACUUUGAAAUGAGCCAAACUUGACUUGCGUCCUGUUCAUAAUUCAAAUGGUGUCUUUGCAACGGCUUUACUUGGAACUCUGUUGAAAAUAUACAUAACAGUUUUCAAAGCUUCACCCCAUAAAUAUUCACACAAAUUUGUUUUACUCAUUAUGCUCCUGACCAUAUCUUUCAUAGUUCGAUUAUGAAAUUUAGACCAUUCUGCUUAGGUGUCCUUGGUAUGAUGUAUUGAGGCACUAUUCCACACUCUUGUAAAAAUUUUGUAAAAUCACCCAUAUUUUGAUCAGACUUAUCAUAUUUUCCAUCGUACUCACCACCACGGCUAGAUCUUACAACUUUGAUACUUUUUUCACAUUAUUCUCUACUUCCACUUUGAAAAUCUUGAAUUUCUCAAGUACAUGUAAUUUAUUAUUAAUCAAGUAAACAUAUCCAUAUCGUAAGAAAUCAUCAAUAAAUGUUAUGAAAUAUUUGUUCUCACAUAUAGUGGAAGGCAAAGAUCCACUAAUAUCAAUAUGUAUCAAGUCCAAAAUGCCAUCGCUCGGAUCAUUUUCUUGUAAGUUUAGUUAGCUUCCCUCUUAUACAAUUCACACAGGUAUUAAAAUCAGAGAAGUCUAGAGAUGGAAGAAUCUCAACUUUUAUCAAUCUUUCCAUUCUAUCCCUUGAAAUGUGACCUAAUCAUUUAUACCACACAACAUAGAUGACGAUUCACGGAUUAAAACCAUUUUCUUUGAUACAUUGGUAACAUAAGAGACUUCACCAAAAGGAACCGAAAAUAGUUUAUAUAAACCAUCAUAUAAAAGGCCAUUUCCAAUCAAACUAGAAUCAUAAAACAACUCAAUCAUUCUAUUGCCAAAAUUAUAAGAAAAACCACAAGCAUCUAGUUUCGAUAUAGAAAUUAAAUUUUGUCUCGUUUGCGGUAAAAACUUUAUUUUCCAAAACAAGAAAAAAAUCAGACUCUAAAGUUAACUUCACUACUCCUAUAAACUCAACCUUCACUUGAACUACAUUUUCAACACUCAAGCUCACUUCAUUCUCACUAGACCUCCGUUUACUUGCGAACCCCUGCAAAAAAUUCACAAUAUAAAUACUAAUUCUAGAGUCACAUCUACUAAAGAAGACUCACAACAAACCAAGGCCAAGAGAAUACCUGCAGAACUAUUCUUCUUUUCUAACAAGGUCUUAAAUUUAAAACAGUCUUUCUGCUAAUGACCCUUCUUUUUACAAAACUUGCAUUAAUAAUUUUUCUUCAUAAUUCCUUUUGGACCACUAAAAUUUUUAUUCUGCUAAUUUCGGUGUGAUUUAUUAUCCUUAUGGAACUUAGGCUUAUGGUUAUGAGAAGUCUCAUUGUUCUAUGAUGGCUGAAAAGCUAACUGCACAAUUUCAACAGUCUCAUGGCGCAUUCUAUACUCUUCUUGGGCACACACUGCUAUAAGGUCAUUCAAAUCUCAUUUAUCCCAUUGAGCAUUGUAAACAAUUUUAAGCUGAUUAAACUUGUUAGAAAGGCUAUUUAAAAUAUGACAGACCUCCACAAUAGGAAUGUUAAGAACCUUUAGCUUAGAUGAUAUAUUUAUCAUCUUCAUAACGUGCUCCCUAACACCACUUGUGCCAUCAUAUUUCAUAUUCAUCAAUUUAUCCAUUAGAUCCUCAGUUUCGACUUUAUCAGACUUAAUAAAUUUCUCUCCUAUGGCAUCUAUAAAACCUUUGGCAUUUUCAUUAUCUGGAAUAGUACCCAUAAUGGAAUAGGAUAUGAAUUGCUUAAUAAUUUUCAAACAGACUUGGUUGAGCUUUUCCGACUUUCAUAUUCAACUACAUAUUCAACAGUGCUCUUAUCUGUAAGUUUUUUUUCAUUGCAAAAUCCAAGCCCAAAAGACCAAGUGCUAUUUCUACAUCUAUUUUCUAUCUCACAUAAUUAUUUAAGUCAAGGUUUAAUAGCAAACAAUUGACUCGAAAGAUACGAGACAUUAUAAACUGUGGAAACAUAAAAUAUCAUACUCAAUAUCAUCCACACAUAAUCCAUGCAGUCAAAUGGAUGAUAAAAUAUUCAACUAAUUAACGGGGCUAUUAACUAGAUAAUCGUAAUUAAAUCAAAAGCAUAUGAAUCUUAUUAUGGUAAAAGCCUAGAUGCAUCAUCAUAAAGUCACAUUUAUGCUGAUAAUACAACAUGUUAUAAGGUACUCUUAAAACACAUCGUAUAGCUAGUUAACGAAAUUACAUUGGUUUUUGAAACACCAAAACCUUCGGGCAAAAGGAAAUUUCUAGAUCAAAGUAAGUUCGUUAACCAUCUUAUGCCAUUUUCCAAAAAUAUCAUAUAUAGUAAUACAUUUUGGCAAGAUAUUAUAUGCAAUAAAUCAAAAUUGUUGCGCAAAAUAGAUAUAAUUUUUGUUAUAGAGAAAAUCGAAUAAAUAACAAUGAGUGUGCCACUUUGACAAUUACCACCCAUUUUAUUUCAAAAUAUUUCUCUCAAUAGGAAAAUAAAGAUCGUCUCAUUACCCAUGAAAAAUUCAAUUAUACAACAAAUCAUAACUGUUAAUUGAUGAAAGACAAAAAUUCAUAUGAGAUUGAGAGACGAAAUUGGCAACGAAAUAUAUAUAUAUAUAUAUAUAUAUAUAUAUGAAAAAUGAAAUUUAAGUGUACAAAUAAUAGCGACAUUUAAAUACACAGCAUUUUAACGAGAAUAUAAAUUCGUUAAUUAUUAUUAUUAUUAUUAUUAUUAAUUAAUUUUAUACAAUUUUAAAUGUGUCAAUUUUAAAUAAAAUUUUAAUUAUGGUCAAAAUUGAAAUUUCAGGAUCAAAGACUUUAAAAUCCAAUUUAAACCCCUUUUUCAUAUUCAAAUCAAAAAACCCAUUUAAAAAUUUGUAACAUGACCCCCGGUUUAAAUUACAAGACUGGUCCUUUCCUUUUAAUUGCAUAUGGGGGCCCAAAGUAUCAUUAUUUACAACAUAGGCCCCUAAUCGAUUAUUGCAAACGGGGGCUUGAAACCUAGAUAUUUACAACUGGAGCCCCAUCUUCAUUAUUUAAGAACCCGACUAAUACUUGUAAAUUUAUUUAUUUAUUUUUAUUUCAAGGGGGUGUGAUUGGUGCCUCCCCCAAACAGCAACAUGCGAAAAAACAACAAAGUUGUUAGGCAAUUUUGUUGUCAAACGACCUCCCCGGGCGAUGAUGUAACCUCGGUUGUUUAUUAUCAAUCGGCCUCGGCCUAAUGAUUGAUUAGCACGUCGACACAAUUAACGAGACAACACAAUCCACUUUGUUAUGGACCGUUCGAAGUAACCUAUUUUAUAGUGUUGCUCAUGGUUCCCGCACCAUUCCUUGGAAGGCUAUGUUAUUAUUGUUGAGACCCAAUUAUUUGAGUCGAGGCUCGAUCCACCACUUAGCCCUAAUUGUAACUUACCUUGUUUGGACACUACCCUUGGCAUAUAUUCCUCACAUCUCUCGGCCUCCAUUUUAGAGUGAAAUCCCCUCUUUGUGAGUCUCUCCCUCUCGGCCGUUCCCUCCUCCCUCUCUGUGACCUUUGUGGUUGACAUAUUGUGGGUAUUUUCUUGGCCUUCUCCUUCCUAUAUCCAUAGCAACCGGACCUUGGUGGCACAAGGUGAUAUUGGAGUUGUCUCAAGAAUGGUGUCGGCGUUUUGAGUAAACUGAGCCCGGUUUUUUGGAUUGCUUGGCUGUGGAAUUCGGUCCUACAAAAGUUAAAGAUAAUUCUCAAUUUUUACGGCCAUAAGACAUACACAAACAUAUAACAGUGGCUGCCUUCUCUUUUCCUUCUAUACCAAGCAUAUUAUGCAACACACAAAACCCAGAUCUUGAAUUGUCUCAACCUAGAAGCCUCCUAAUUAAAAUCGGCCUCCUAUUGAAAUUGAAUUUUAGAUCUUUAAUUCAAGGUUUUAAAUCCAAUGCACAAAUAUCUCCAUCUUUGGUUAAGAGAAGAAGAAAAAACACGUAGGAGACCAAGUUUCAGAGUUUUGCAGAUUUGGUAGUGUUGGAUUUCUUUACAUGUUUACAUGAUGAAUAUAUUAUACAUAUAUGUACAAAGCCAAAUUAUAUGCACAGAGACGUGAAAACACUAAAAUAAUAAUUUAAAUUUUAUUUUUUUUAAUUUCAAAACUUUAAAAACUUAACAAUUCCAAAUACUUGAAUUGAUGGGUAGCGGAAACUUUAGAAUUAUUCAGUCAGAGGAAGAAUAUUAUUUUAAUGACAGAUUCUUAUCUUAACAUUUUGGCUCUAAUACCAAUUGUUGAAAUUUAAUUGUAAUCAUGCUAAAACUCAAAAAUUACAAAAUCAUAAAUUGAUAAAUCGAAUUUAUACAUGCGGAAGCCAUUGUUAAUAUAAAUAAUAGUAGCUAGAUUUUUCACUCAUUACUCUUCACAAAGUAUUAGUCGUCAAUGGGAUAAGCUAAUAAAUAACAAUAUGGAGAAGAGAUGGGACCUAACCUUUAUAUAAGAAAUUAUCAAGCCAUCCCAUUACGACUUAAAUUCUAAUUAGAAUUUACAUAUAUUUUCGGCUCACAUACUUAAAAUUACCACAUCAUAUUAAAAUACAAACAGUAAGGUGUAAAACAUUCAAUUGAUCACUUAAUAAAUUUGGCACAAUCACAAAUAUCAUUAUGAGCCAUACAUCUAACAUGUAAAAUUUACAAUCGAAUGUAAAUCCCAUAUUUGAAAUUAUUCCAACAUAAAAUUCAUAAAUUUUGAUGAAAUAUAUGGUUGAAAAAUUGAUAAAAGUUUUGGAUCCAAAGAAAUGUGUUAUUAAAAAUAAUUUUUGAUUUUGGCUUCGAUUUUUUUCAACUUUUUUAACUAAAUCAAACAUGUGCUUAUUAUUCAAAAUUGAGAGAAAGAGAGACGUGCGGGCGACAACUAUUGGUCGAUAUAUUUGGCUCUUGAACGCUUGAUUAGUUGAGAACUUCAGGUUUUGUAGUAAUGGAAACUUUUAGGAUUGUUGUACGUUUUAUGUUAAAAAAAUUUAGAUAUUUUUUAUUCGCUCAUACAGUAAAACUACAGUGACCUUAUCAAAAUGUCAUUUAUGCAAGUUGAAGAAGAAAAUUAUAUGAUCUAAAAGGAUUACAUACUUUCAUCAAUUUUGUCUAAUUUGACAAGCAUGUCCAAAUGACUUGAAAUUUAUGCAAAAAGGAGAGAGUGCCUAGAUGGACUCGACAUUCUCUUUAAAUUUUCCUAAUUUGGCACUUUUGAAUAGAAUAUAGUGACACAAAUACACAAAUUAAAAAGCAAAGACAGUUUUAAUUUUAAAAAAAUUGGAAAGAAGGCUAAAUCUUCUUCCUAAUGACAAUUUAGAUAAAAACUAUUCAACCCUCUUCACUUGUGAACCUUGAAGAUGGCGCUCUUAAGAUUUGAGAACGGGUGAGGUCUCAUUUAUACUUCUGGAAAAGGUCAGGGACCCUCUCCGCAAUUUUCCCAUUUCCAUUUGAUGUGGUAUUGAAGUUUUAACAUUUUUCCCAUCUCUACACCAACUUCACAAUUUAGUCACAAUAUUCAUCAACCAUUUGACUAUCAAUAUUUUUCACUCGACCUGGUCUCUCCAUGUUUUUCAGUUUUGGAAAAUUUUCCAAGAAUCUAGAGCUUGUAAAGCUGUAAUUACUAAUAGAUCGAGUAGAUUUUGAAGUUAAUGACAUAGUGACUAAUAUGGAACUAAAAUAUAAUUUUGACUUAAAAUUUCUCUGUGAUUUUAUUAGGUAAAAUGUGUUUUUUCCGUCUCUAUAUGACAUUACAAUUACGUCACUAUUCGAUCUUUAGAUUAAUUGAUAUAGAUGUAGACAAACAUGUUCCACAUCUACUACAUCUUAUUCAUCACCUUGUUAAGCAAGAUCACCUAACCAAUAGAAGUAGAUAAACAUAAUUUCAUGCAAGUUUUAUAGCGGUUGAGGAUCCAUUUGCGCUUUUUGAAAAUAUUAGGAACCCAACUGCAAUUUUCCUAUUUUAUUUUACUUUUCUUCUCUUUCAGUUUACUAAAGUUAAAUGGUAGAGUUGUCAUUUUUGUCAUUUUGUGCGACAUUAACAAAAAAAUGGAUGGAAAUCGUUAGGAGGUAACAUUUGUGCAGACGAAAAGGUUGAGAUGCAAAUGAAUAAAAAUUAAAUGGAAUGAACAUGUUGAAGAUGCACAAUGUUAUUUAUCUUAAAACUAGUUGCUGUCACGUGCGAUGCACGAGUUUUGUAUUUAUGAUAUUUUUAUUAGCGUAUGAAUGGUAGUUUUUUGGAAUGUUUUUGAAGAAAUCAAGGCUAUCAACAUUUAGGAACGUUGGUUAAAAUUUAUAUAAUCAAAUGAAAAGACUAGGUUGUAGAGAAGAAAAGAUGCUGAAAAUAUACAAAUGAUUGUAAAGAAAAGAUUAACACAUUUAUAUCAAUUUUCCCAUGAUGAAAGAAAAAUUUCGGUACAUGUUAACGGCUUUUACAAUCUCACAAGAGCAUUCUAUCCCAGCUAGAUUGACAAAAAAUAUACGUGAAUAAGAAAUGAAUGGGGUUACAUUAAUUGUUUUCCAGGUAUAGUUGACACAUUUGAUAUUUUUCAACGUUUAACACGAUCUAUAUGAUUGAGUUCAACUUGAAGAUUAUGUUUGAAAAAUAGAUGGAAGAUACUCCAACUUUAGCACAAGUCCAGAUAACCAAAAGGCUCUUCAAACUACAGUCCAACAAAGCACCAUCAUCUAUUCCUUACCCACAUAACACAUCGUCAAAUGCUUCCAUGUCUUGGUCUAUACCAAUAUAGAGAUAAAACAUGACGAAAUUGUGAAUAGAUUAGAGAAAAAGAAAGAGGAAGACAAGGAAUUAAUACAGCAGCAUAUAGUACUAUGAUAAAUGAGUAUUUUAGUUAACAAUUUGUGAAAUUUACGAAGGUCGAAUAAAUUUAUUUUGCAGAAAAGAGGAUUCUAGACAAAAAUAUAUUUCUAUUAGUUCAAUUAGAAUGGUAACAAGGUGGAAAUAAUUUAGCACAUGCGAUGAAAACUGAUACACAAGUAGCAUAAAUAGGAGGGAAAAAGCUAGACCAAUGCAUCUACAAAAAUGAAGAUCAUUCUAAUUAAAUUAGUCUCGCGUCUUUAGUACACUUUCUAAGUUCAAGGAACUGGCGUAAAAGAAAUUAUCAUUGGUAUGAACUGUAUAAUUCAUGAAGUAAUAUUAUUCACCUGCUCAAUCUCAAAAAUUUAAUUAAGUUGCCACCAUUGUUGUUAUAGGAAUUAUGUCGUCCUCAAAGAAAAAUAAAAUUUUACACACGAGUAUAGCAACAAUAUAACAAGUACUAUUGACCUCAAUUCGUCUUUUCUAUAGGGUGAGUCGCCAAAGGCUUCUUUGUUCAAAUUAUUGAACGUCAAAGCAGACAAAGAUGCAAAUAUACCUACACAAACAAUAUGUAAAUGUAGAAAGAAAAAAGUAAUGAUUGUCACUAAAUAAAGUCGGAUGUAUAUUUGAAAAAGCCAACUUUAUUAAGACUUAUAUAAAUCUAACAGAGGGACCCGCCCUUAAAACAACAUAUCCAAUCUUCGAAAAGUUAAAUGUUGCUUACCCAUAAUACCUUGCAUAUUGAAUCCUUUACUCUAGUCAGAAUGUUGUCUAACUUUUUUGUUCCAGACUUUCUCAAAAUCGACAACUUCAUCUAAAAAGAACAAAAUUACUUGAAUGUGAACUGAAAGUUACAAAAAUAAAAAAGUCAUGUAACAAUAAUACAUACAAUCUAGAUACAAUAUUUAUACUAAUUGACCUGAAUCACCUCAUUCAACCAAAUAGGCAUAUUUAAAUUAUAUAUCCUCUUCAUUCUUCGUCUUUCUACACAACAAUCUAGUUCCUAGCUCUGAAAUAAAGUCUCAUAAUAGUUCUAUUUAAAAACAUAAAUAUAUAUUUUAGUAUGGAACUUAAAAAUUUCGUUAGGUCCAUAAAGAUCCAAUCAUAAUUCAAAUUGUUAAAAUAAGUUCUUUAUCAUUCCCAUUAUGGGCACAUGUUCCAAAUUUCACUAUGAUCAACUAUUAAAUAAAGAUGUUAAGUUGCCCAAACGAACUCAUACCAAGCAAAGAUUUUAAAAAUCAUCAAAAAACUUUCUAACAAAAAUUAUCAUAAAUCACAAAAGAGAGAGAGAGAGAGAGAGAGAGAGAGAGAGAGAGAGAGAGAGAGAGAGAGAGCUACAAAAUCCAGUGAAGUAUAAACAUUCAAACAAUCACACCAACUGAUCAAUUGCAAACUCCAUCCGUUACCAAAAAUAAAUAAAUAAAUAAAUAAAAAUAAAAAUAAAGGAAACCCCUAAAUAUCUUAUGAUCAAACUCUAAAUAAAGAAAGAACAAAAAUUAUGAAGAAACGAAACUAAACCAUCAUUAAAGCUUAGUGCAUUAUGAUACAUGUCAAGUAAUAUAAAUCAUUACUAAAAAACAAAAUUACAAAAACUUCUCACAAAUUAAAUUAAAUGAAUCAGACAUCCACUAAACAUACACAACUUCCUUCUUGUAUUAUCACAAAGAAAUAAAGUAAUUAUAUCCAAAAAUAGUGAAGAAAAAGAAUAGUUACCUGCGAGACGACAAGAAUUGCUUAAAUAAUUUAGUGCACAUCUCCUUCAACAAUACAUGAACCCAUUGAAAAAACAAACAAUUAAAUCUAUUGUAAAUACCAGACAACAUUGAAAUCAAAGAGAAACAGUGAUCUCAUUAAAAUAAGAUUCCCCAACAUAAGUGACACGAUAAAAGAAUAAAAUAAAGUACCAAAGACGAAAAAUUAUACAUUUAAAUAUUAGAAAAUUAAGCAAAAGAAGAACACACAAUAUGGAAUGAGCCAAAACUACUUGUAGAAAUUGGGUGAGCCACAAAGAAUUCCAUCUUCAUAAUGCCUGCUAAAAAUGAAAGUGUGUGCAACAUUUCAUUUUCUGCAUUGAGACUAAAAUAUAGGAAAAAUUCUCCUGGCUUGUGCAAUCACAGAAGACAACGAAAAGUCAAGAUAGAGUUCUCGUCAAAAACACAAAAGUAAUUACCUUCCAAAACCAGGGCAAUGUCCCAAAGUAAAAAAAUUGUAGAGUCCAUAAGUAUAAUUACAAGCUCGUGAACAAAACGGAAAUGGCUGAAGUUCGAAAAUAAAAACCAAUAACUAUAGACACAAGAUUUUUCAAACUUCUAUUGGCUGAUUAAUCCCAUCAGAGGUUUUAGAAUUGUUGGUAACUUUAGAACACUAUGCUAAGGUAAGUCAAAAAAUUUACACAAAUAUCAUAAUUCUUGAAAUGGUUCGAAGCAAAAUAAAUGUAGGAACCAGAAGUCAAAACAAGAUAUAGAAUAGAAAAUCAAGAAUAUAAAUUAUAACAAUGUAUAUUCCCCAACCAAAGGAAAAAGCUAGAAAUAAGCAGCCACGCAGCAAGCAUAAAUAGAGGAACAAGCAUUUAAAUUAAGAGGCAACAAAAGAGAGGAAUUACAAAAGUAAACAAUGAAUCAAUAAAAAAAAAUUGAACUUCGAAUUGAUAAUCAAAGAAUUAUGUCGAAAUACCAUGAUGUUGAAAAUGUCCAAAAUUAAAUGCAAAAGAAGUGUUGAUCGUUACAAAAUGAACAUUGGCACUUUGAUUUACAUGGACUUUAUCUGAUCCUACCUCAUUAACUCGGAGAUAGGUACCAUUGAGUAGAAAUCUUCCUCAUAUAGUUGUUCAAUAAGUAUCUGACACGAUUGAUUAUACUGAUUAGAUUUAUUAAGACAGGAAUUCUUUUGUAAAAGUUCUUUUCCAAUGCAUACUUUUUUAUGGGUUUCAAUACAUUAAAUUUUUUACAUAUUUUCGUUACCAGAAGUGUGCCUAUAACAAUUUGGUAGUCAUCUUCACAUAUUAUGUUGCGUGAUAAACAUGUUUUAAGCGUUGAUACCCUAAACAAACAGAAAUCAACAGCCAACAACCUAUUACAAAUUUACUGACAACUCAUUAUAAACAAUCAACUGAAAAAAUCUAAAAAUUCAAAAGAAAUAAAUCUUCAACCCAAAAAAUGGAAACACUUAAGGCAAAAUAGAUCUUAACAACAAAAAGAAUAGUCAAUUAAAUGAUGAAGAAGGAAGAUUUCUAUCCAAAACCAUCAAGAAUCAACUAAGAAAAUGAAUUUAUUUCAAAAAUCUUACCUGGCGGAGUGGCACCACUACUAGCUUCAAUUCCAUCAACUUAAGAAUAGAAUGGAACCCUAUACGCUAAUAUAAAAAAAAAAAAAAAAAAAAAGGUUAGUUGAUACACAUACAAGAUUUUAACCUAAAAUCAUCAAGAAUAAAUAGAUAAAAUGAAAUGUUUACAAAAAGAAAAUAACCCUAAAUCUAAGAAAAUAUUAAAUCGACAUACUUCAUGUCGCCAAUCACUAAUUUCUGGGUAAAUUUUCCACUUUUUUGGGGAAGGUUUUAGAAAACUUGGAACGCAGACAAAGAGAAAAAUGUCGAACACAAGACCAAUAAGGCUAAAGGAAAUGGAAUAACCAUUUACAAAAAGAGAAAAAUGAAGGUUUGAGGAUUCUAAUUCUACAUGUAUAAAUCUCAAUAUUCCACAAUUUUUUUGGGUUCUUCUGAAGAAUUUCGAACAAAGGACGGAAAUUUUGGGAAAGAAAGAGUUGGAAAAGGCUAAAGAAAGAAGAGAAAUGUUGCUUGUGUCAGAUGAAAAUUUGAAAAAUGGAUAGCAAUAAGACCAAAGAAGAAGUUUGCGUGUCUGAGAAGAAAAAAGCAACAAUAGGAAAGCAAAUAAAAAAGGGCAUCAUUUUGGAAGGGAAUUAAAUCACUAUUGCAUGUACAGUAAACCUUGAUUGAAUUUUUUUUUAUAUAGUAGGGAAAAAAAUGGGAAGAAAGAAGAAGAUUUGCUUUGUUGAAGUGGACAACACGUUUUGACCAAGAUGACACCAUAUUUGUACAGUAAAAUGGGAUUUGGUUACUAUUGCAUCUACAAUGACCCUUCAUUGCCUUUUUUUAUUUAAGGUUAGAUUUAAUCAACUCUCUUGAGCAAAGAACAUUUUUAAGUUUUUUACGUUACAAAGAGUACUAGGUUAUCACUAUUUCAAUCAACUUAGUUGCAUUAUCUACAUAAUAUAAUUCUUUUGAACAUUAUUUUUACAAUUGCAUUCACCUUAAUUUGUUCUAGUUUCGUGUUAUCAUAUUUCCAGUUUAAUGUCUCCUGGUUUCAGAGCUCGCGAGUUGAAGGAGACUUAAUAAAUUUAAAUGUUUAUAAUUACUAUCCAAAGGAGAGUUCAUAAAUCUAGAAGUUCUAAAAGCCCAUAGUCUCGUCGUAAUCUUUACAAAUGAAUCCAAAUGUUGACUUAGAAAUGUGGUGCCUUCACUCAUAUUAUUUGCAAGACCAAUACUAGGAAUAAUUUUCUCCGACGAUAUCAUAGAAUCACCUACUAACUUUUCCAAUUAUCUUAAAAGUGUAUUUGAAAGUUGGAACAAAAACUCUUUAUUCUUAACCUGAUUUCCUCUAGCUUUGUGGACCAAGCUUACUCUAAUUUAUGUGUGAGGAUUGAUUUUUCCUAUUUAUGUGUGCAUGAAGCUUAAUUUUUCUACCUUUAGCGGGUAAGAACUUUUCACCGCUAAUAUAGCAAGAGAAUCUUAAUUAGAAUUGAUUUUCUAUUUUCAAUGAGAGAUAAAAACUUUCUACUGCUUUCCACUGAGGUAAGAGAUCAAUUAUAUGGGUAUAAUGGCCGUUUGGCCUUCUAUAUUCUUCAAUAACAUUUUUGUUAAAGUCCUGCAUGGCAUCCAGAAUUUGCAUUUAGCUUUAAUUUGUAGCUUUUAUAACAUGAUUCAGUAAUACUUGCUCCAAUUGAUCAUUAUCCCAAUUUACAAACGGUCCAAAUCUGUUAACGGAUAAUUCCAUACUUUAUAUAAAGGAAAAUAAUAUAAGUACAGGGAUCAUUUGGCCCUAUAGGCAUAUCACAAGGGUCAGCUGGCUUCCUAGCAUGUACAAGGUCCAUGUGGCAGCUAUACGUGGAGCUUGGUUCUUAUAUAAAUCAUGAUUGAUAUAAACCAAAGUGUAACUGAAUUUGACAAUUUGUCAUUCGAAAAAUAAAAAAAAAUAAAAAAAAGGUUUUCUCUCGAUAUUUUUUUAAACUAAGCAAGUUCCAACCUUAUUGCACACUUUGAAAUGUACAAAUUGCAUUUACCUUUGUAUAUCUCCUUUGUCCAGAAUCUAGAUUAUUCUAGGUUGAUUUGACCUCAUAAUCUCCCUCUUGGUCCCUCCUUUUUUUAUUAUGUGUGUCUGACCCAAAAGCUUUUAGGUGUUGCAAAUUAUUCCUUGAAAAGUAUUUAUUUUAAUCUAGGUCCCCAAGUUUUUGGAAUAUUCCAAAUGGUCCCUGAACUAUUAUAAGUUACAAACAGAACCCCAAACUUUUUGUUUGAUUCCAAUUGGUCACUGAAUUUUAAAUAUUACACAUUAUAGCCCCUAGAAUUUCAAUUUCUUUCAUAAAUCAGACCCUAUUCUCUCUGGUAGCAUCAAAUUGGUCCUUAUGUUUACUAUUUUAUGCAAGUUAAUCCUUGGCAUUUUCUACUUCUGAUAACUUAGUCCUUGAACCAUCUAGAACCAAAAAUACAUCCUACAAUGCUUCUUGUGGUGUACACUUAUUUUCCAUGUUAUUUUUGUAUCUUUUCCAUUUUCAUUACAACAAUUCAAAUUUAGCCCUUGUUUGAGCCUCCCUUUUUUUGGCCAAAAUGCAUUUUAGAAUAGUGUGUUUGUUGAAGAAUGUGUAGUUAAAAAUAAAGAAAAAAUUUUGGUUGCGUGUAAAAUUAUUUUAUAUAAGAAUGUGUAGUUGAAAAUGAGUUUUGAAAAAAUGAUUUUUUGAAAAAAUGGGGACCAAGCAUAGGCUUAAACUUGAUGUCCUACUCGCCAAAGCGAAAUUAGCCUCCUUUGAAUGAGGGAGUUUCCCGAUUUUGUUGUGAUAUUUUGACAUAUUAUUCAAUUCAAAAUCAGUUCAUUAGUCAGGUCAUAUAAUUGUUAAGCUUUACGACUUUAACCUAUGAGUUUUGUUUAGUGGUUUGUUUAUGUUCAAAAGUUGAUAUUAUUUAUCCAAGUUUGAAAUGGUUGAUUGGGUCAAAAUUUUCAAUGGAAUCAUAUACUUCUAUUCUUCUCAAGAUUUUUUUUUUUUAAUGACAGGAGAACCCGCAGCCACUACAUUUCGGGUGCGCACUGGAUAAACCCUCUAGUUGACACAAUAGCUCGCAAAUCAUGCUACCCAGGUAAAACGUAUUAGGCAAGCCUUGUGCGACAGGCUCGACUGAGAAUGUGUUGGUAAGGGGAAUUGAACUCGCGACCAAAGACCUUUGCGCUCAUCUAGUCCACAAACUCGCCCACCCCAUGCGGGACUAUUCUUCUCAAGAUUUUUUUUUUAUUGAAAGAACGGUACCACUUUAUCUAUGUUUAUUUGAAGUGAUUGGAGGAACUGUAAAGGCACUAAAAGUGAUAGUCCAAUGGACUAGCAAUGAGGUUGGGGAAUCCCUCUCUAUCGCCAUUCGACAAGAAAUUUUUAGCUGGGAUAGUAAUUAACGUAUUUUCAUUUGUCUUCCUUUUAGGUAUAUUUGUUUCUGAGUAUAAUUUUUAAAUUUUUAUUAUAAUUAAAUUAAAAAAUAAUAUAAAUAAUAAGUGUUGGGAGGGAAAUGCGGGAUAGGGAAACAUUUUUCCCUCUAAUUUUUACCUUGUCCUCCUUUAUUUUAAUUAAAAAUAAAGAUAAAAUGUCGGGGAAAAAAUGGAAAGAAAAAAUUGGGAAUGAACUGCAGCUAUGACAAUAAGUUGGGGUCCAAAGGCACAAAUAUCUUCACUAAAUUGAAACAAAAACCUCUUUCCCUCUGAGGUCUCGUUCUUCAUAGUUCAUUCUCUAUUCUUGCUAAAACCCUAUAUUGUACAGCUGAAAACAAAAUAGCAACUCGUCGGACGCUCCCAGCUCUUUCAUCGGUAAAUUCCCUUUUCUCCUUUAACAACAUCAAUCCACAAUUUUAUGAGUUAACCCUAAAUUAGAACACUGACUAAAUGCAUAAAAUGCACGUGUUGGUCCUUAGUCAAGAUUUCUAGCAAUCAGGGUCCUUUUGGGUAUCUUUUUUCUGUUGAUUCUCUUUUUUCUUUAACUGGUUUAUGGGAAUUAACAUUAUAGUUCAACUGUGUGAAUGUAUUUGGAAUUGCUCGUUUAGUGUUCUAGAAUUCAUUUUUACUGCUUGUGGAGUAACUAAGUGAAGGAAAUAGAAGUUAAUUUAGUGGCAUAUAUAAUGUGGGUUCUUUUGAACAGAGUUUAUUGGGCUUACUGUGUUUAUGUAUAAUUUGAUGUGAGCAUAUUUAAUUGAGCUGAUUAUUACUGGCAUGUUUAAUUCGAGUUCUGUUAAUCAUAUAAAUGGUUAAUUUUUGUUUAUUAUGGACAUUUUAGUUGAAGUGAGUUUGCUCUUUUUGACAUGUAGGAAGUUAUGGAGAGAUAUUUUAAACGAAAAUCUCCAUUCUCUACUGAAGAAAAUGAUGAUGUAGAGAAAUCAAGGAAAGAUAUAAUUAAAGGAGCACGCGUGCUAGCUGGUUCUCGGACGCUUUUGAGUGUAUCAAUUGAUUGUGUUCGGUUUCUCACACGACAAGGGCUUGUAUUCGAUGAUGAUGAAUUUGUAGCUUCAGAAGAUCAACGCGACUUUAUUCAACUUUUGCAGUGUCUGGCCGACCAAAAUGCUGAGAUUAAGGCUAUUAUGGAAAAUGCUCCUGAGAAUCUCGUUUUAAUAUCACGUGAUAUUCAAAAUGAUAUUGCAAGUGUUGCUGCUGUUGAAACGCUGAGUUUUAUUAUUGAAGUAUUGGUGAUGCCUUAUUCUCAAUUCUACUUGAUAAGUCUCCCGAUGUCUCACAAGAGGAGCAAAUGUCUAUUGUGUUGCGUGAACAACACUGGAUGUGUAGUUGAACGUUUUAUGGGUAUUGAACACGUUUCUAGUGCCACAUCUCUCUCACUUAAGGCUUCCAUAGAUAAAUUAUUCUCUAGAUACGGGUUGAGUAUUUCUCGAUUGAGAGGACAAGGUUAUGAUGUGACUAGUGAUAUUCAAGGUGAGUUUAAUGGUCUCAAAGAACUUAUUUUGAAAGAGAAUCCAUGUGCUUUUUACGUUCAUUGCUUUGCUUAUCAACUUGAACAAGCUCUUGUAGAUGUUGCAAAGAAUCAUAUGGAGACUGGAUCGCUAUUCAGUUUGGUUUCUAGGAUGGUGAAUAUUGUCGGAGUAUUGUCUAAUCGUUGUGAUCUUCUUAGAGAGAAACAAGCAGCCAUAAUUUCAAAUGCACUCCAGAACAGUGAGAUUUCAAGUUGACAAAGUCUCAAUCAGCAUAGUACCGUUAAUUCUCCUCAUGAUGCACAUUGGGGAUCACACUAUGGUACUUUGACCACUUUGAUUACCAUGUUCUCACCUAUACGUGAUGUCCUUGAAAUGAUUAUUGAUAUUGAAUCAUGUCGUGAUCAAAGAUUUUGGGCAAAAUAUUUAUCAGAUGGGAUGCCUUCAUUUGACUUUGCAUUUAGUCUACAUCUCAUGAGAACUAUUUUAGGAAUUUCCAAUGAGUUGUCGAAGGUAUUACAAAGGAAAGAUAAAGAUAUUGUCAAUGCCAUAAGUUUAGUGAAAGUAUGUAAACAACAACUCCAAGUGAUGAGGGAGAAUGGGUGGGAUUCUCUUUUGGAACAAGUAUGUUCUUUCUGUCAAAAGCACGAUAUUGAUGUUCUGAACAUGGAUGGGACGUUUAUACAUCAAGGUCGCUCAGGGCGGAAUACUAAAGAAAUGACAAAGUUGCAUUACUUCCGCGAGGGUUUAUUCUAUGAUGUCAUUGAUAUGCAACUUCAAGAGUUGAAUGAUCGAUUCACUGAGAUAAAUAAUGAGCUGCUACUUUGUGUAGCAUGCUUAUGCCCCAACGAUUCAUUCUCGGCUUUUGAUAAGGAAAAGUUACUUCGCCUUGCUCAGUAUUAUCCAAAAGAUUUUUCACCAACAGAGUGCAUGAAGCUUGAUGAUCAACUUGAAAGUUAUAUCAUUGUUAUGCGCUCUAGCAAAGAGUUCGAAGAAUUAUGGGGCCUAAGUAAUCUUUCAAAGAAGUUGACUGCAACUAAGAAAAAUGAAGCGUAUCCAUUAGUUUACAAGCUUGUGAAUUUGGCAUUAAUUCUUCCCAUUGCUACUCCUACAGUUGAAAGAGUCUUGACUGCAACUAACAUUGUGAAGGCUCGAUUGCGCAAUAAAAUUGGAGAUCGGUGGAUGAAUGACAACUUAGUUGUAUAUACUGAAAACGAUGUAUUCCAAAAAAUAGACGAUGAUGUCAUUAUGCGUGGUUUCCGAAGUGUGAAAACCUGUUGGGAACAAUGGUAAAUUGUUGUGACAUUUUUAAUAUUAUUUUGUUAUUGGCU
rnacentral:lncRNA from 1 species